UCUCACCUUCCAAGUUAGGGCGUGGACAUUGGUAGAGUAGAGAACGCUUCAGUCUUUUUGUAGUGUUCCCUAAUUUUGGGCUAAACGGUGACGGCAGACCCGAGUUUCGGUAUGAUUUUUUUUUGUUAAGACGAAAAAUCGCGAAAACUAGGCGAAAUCAGGCCGCAAACUUACUUUUGAAGGCCGGGCUUCCGGCGUCGCCUAGCAACGAACUUCAUAUGAAAGGCCGUGUAUAUGAGCAAUCUCUAUUCCGUUUACGUAACGUAGUUGUGUUUUGUGUUUGUGUUUCGUUAAUCCUGUUGCUUCGCCGCGUGUGGAACUUAUUCAUCGCUUUGGUAGGUGUGUGUUAUUCUGUGGCAUAUUCAACUGAACGACCUUGUUGGAGAGGUGUUUAGCGGGGAAGUGCGUUCCGUUUUAAACAUCUUUUGGCUACUCGUUAAUAAACUGACAUUUGCCAUUUUUUCUUACCAACCUGAGGGACACUCUUUUUCACGACACACACGAUUGUUUGAAGAUUAAUUUUCACUAGACGUCAUUUGAAUGGAACAGUGCAGUAUCUAUCGGCAGCCCUGCAGUGUGCAAAAAAAGGCAGUGGAAAAAAUCUGCUUGUGGUGCUGAUCUGCACAGUGGCGGCUUGAUGUAACCAUUCUUGAAAGGACCUAUCAACAGACUGCAUAGUAUUAAAAAACUUUUCCCCUAAGGAAAUUUGUGUCUGUGGACUUUCUUUAGAUGACACAUGUAUCAUAAAUAUUUUCCUGCUUCUUGGGACAAGGAACAUAGGAUGUCUUGAUGCCAACCAAGUGUCAUUAGAAAGAUGUAUUCUUAAAUUUGCAGGAAAAACCUAAAAUUGGAGGACAAUUCAUUUGUUUCUCAUUGCCAGUUUUGUAAAACAAAUGGUAAAUUGGUAAAAUGAAACAACAUGUAAUCUAUUAAUUUAGAUCAAUUGUUUUCACAAGUGGAGAUUGAUUCCACAAUCUUCGGCUUCCCAGGCAGACACACAUCCACAAAGCCAUGGAGUCAGAGACCAAUUUGUGUAAUCUGAUAUUCUAGCCCUCAAAAUCCCAGCUGCCCUUCUGCUUCAACAAGGUUAUAAAGCAAUUCUAAUUUCAGGAGGUCCCAACUCAGUUUACGCAGCGAAUGCCCCACUACACGACCCAGCAAUCUUUACUUGCGAUCUUCCAGUGCCGAGAAUUUGUUAUGCAUGCAAUUACUCAAUUAGGAAUUAGGUAACCAAUUCUGUUUUAUAAAUUUUUUUUUAUUCAAAUUAUUUCACAGCAGUAUUCAACAUGUCAGAAAUAACAAUUAUGUCAUAAAAUAAGUGGAACAGUGGAGAGAAAAUAUGUUUGUGAAGAUGGGCAAUUCGAGAUCCAAGUAGAAACGUAGUGCUCAUUGUUUAAAGGCUUAUGAGACUCGGAAAAUGGUAUUACUGAUCCAUGAUGACAGCGUAGACAAGGUUGCAAAAGGGUUGCAUUGCAUCGCAAAAUGUUUGCGUCAUAUUAUUUUCGCUAUUGCUGAUACUCAACGCCGUCUUUACGGAGUCCAGUUCCAUGAUUUAACUGAUAAAGACGAAAAAUGUUGCAUAACUUCGUGUUCGACAUUUGUGGAUUGCAAAGAGCUUUCACAUUGGUGAAACGCGAGCAGCAGUGUAUCGAUUACAUCCGGCGUACGGGAUUAGGCCACUACAAGAGAUCCUGACACUUUAAGAAGGCCAAUAUUGCUUACAUGAAGAUCACCAUCCAGUUCAAGGACUGUUAAUGGACCUCAAGCCUUUUGUUUAAGCUUAGUGAUGUGUUCUCUUGUCAGUCAAUGACAGAGUCUUCAUCUACUUUGUGUUGCUAAUCAUCAGCCCUCAGCAUCCCAGAUAUCCAGCUUUCCAAGUUUCUCAGAUUAGCCAACCAUCAUCCAUACCCUUCAUCUCUUCAUUGUGGCUUCUCUUCCUCUCUUCUUAGUCUUGCUGAAUGCCAGCAGUGAAUGAGGUUCAUCGUCAUUGCCUUUCCAUAGUAUUGUCACGUGGAGAUCACGUGACAUACGCGUGAGACACACCCCACACUCACCUCCUUCUUGGAAACAAGCAAGGGCGAAUGUACGAGUACAUUCGACCUUGUUUUGUCUGAAU